CUUGCUGUAGGCAGGAGGUCGUUGCUUUCAGUUUGCAGCUUGUCUGCAACACAACAUGAAGUUUCCCUGAUUACAGGUUCUAGGUGUGGAUUUACUUUAUCGGACAAUAACUCAAAUUUCCGAGGGUCCUUGAACUACUCCCUGUUGUGUGGAUCUCGGUUUUAUCAGAUCAACCAGUCCUUUCAGCCGCAGCAGCUGUUUGUGGUUCUGCCUCAAAAUGGAAGAAAGAUCUUUCAAACUUGCAGCUGCCUGACAUUUUAAUGGUGACUUGCACUUGUGGAUGAUACAACGCAACAAAUCACAUCUCAGGGAGAUGGUGUCUUCUGCUCAAACACAGCUCUUCUUUACAAAAUGGUUUCAAGAGGAAAUCUUUUGUGGAUUCCAUGUCUGCUGGUAAAAAUGUUCAUUUCCCUGUUUUGUUCCUUUCCCGGUCAUGGCGGAAGCUGUUUUUUUAUUUCAGCAGUCAUUGGCUGAGAGACGGGGGACACCCCAGGGACACGUAGAGACAAACAAGCAUUCACCCUCCCACCCACAUGAGAAUAAUUUACAGAAACAGUAAACAAACAUGCAUAUUUUUGUUCCAAGGGAGGAAACCAGAGCAGCUGCAGAAACACCCCCACAUGCAGGAAGAACAUAAACUACUCUUAAAAGACUGCAGCUGAAUUUUAAGCCUGUGAACUUCCUGUGUUAGGUGAUGCAUCUAAUCAAUGUUACAUCUGUUAAAUAAAAACAAAACACCUAUAAGAAAAAAAGCCUUACAGUGCUAGUUCUGUAGGUUGAAUUGUCAAACAAAUUUUAGAAGUUUUGGGAUAAAACUUGUUACAUCUUAUGUUGAUGAUCUUACUGGUGCAUUAAGAAUACCAGAAUGAUGCAUGUAAGUGUUUUUUGUAUGCUUUCAGUGAAAAGGUUUUAAGAUAAAACUAGUAUUUGAAACUUAUAAAAGUUUUUUUAUAAUAAAUAUUUUUGAUUUUCAAAA